rnacentral:rRNA from 1 species
UUUCCGUAGGUGAACCUGCGGAAGGAUCAUUACCGAGAGUGCCUCUUCGGAGGCGACCUCCCACCCGUGAUUAUCUACCGAUGUUGCUUUGGCGGACGGCUUGCUCCGGCUUGCCGGAUCCGUCAGAGGCCCCGAACAAUCUUGUAUAUCCGUGCAGUCUGAGUGAAACCGCAAAACUUACAAAACUUUCAACAACGGAUCUCUUGGUUCCGGCAUCGAUGAAGAACGCAGCGAAAUGCGAUAAGUAAUGUGAAUUGCAGAAUUCCGUGAAUCAUCGAAUCUUUGAACGCACAUUGCGCCCUUUGGUAUUCCGAGGGGCAUGCCUGUCCGAGCGUCAUUGCACCGCUCAAGCUUUGCUUGGUAUUGGGACCCGCCCCUGGCGGCGGCCCCGGAAAAGCAGUGGCGGUCCGGCGAGACUUCAAGCGUAGUAGAUUAUAUUUCCCGCUUUCGAACGCUCGAGCCGUGGCCCGCCAACGUCAACCGUGCUUUGCACAUUGCCUUCAGGUUGACCUCGGAUCAGGUAGGGAUACCCGCUGAACUUAA